AAAUAUUAUCUUGACACCUUUAUGUCAAACUUUUAAGAAAAAUUUAAAAAAUUGAAAAUACGCAAAAAACCCCGGAUUUUUUAUAGGUCAAAAAUUCAAUGUUUUAGCCAUGGCUCCUCAGGAAAAUGUAUGCGCGCGAAAAUUUUUACUCAAAUUUUUAGCCCUUCAUGUGGUCCUUGAAAAUGCGACGGAGCCUUAAUGAAUUUCGUGCCUGGCCGUACCGAUAUCCGCAGCAGGUCUCCAAGGUGAACAGCCUCUAGUCGAUAGAAUAAUGUAGGUAAGGGAAGUCGGCAAAUUAGAUCCGUAACUUCGGGAAAAGGAUUGGCUCUAAGGGUUGGGCCGGUCGGGCUGUUGUGCAAAACUUGCUGGCUUUGCCCAUGGCUGCGGGAGGCUCACGCCGAACGCGGACUAGCGGUAAGGCUGGCUUGUGGAGCGCUUCAGCUGCGUGCAGGUUUCGGCCUGUACUUCGGCCGGCAAUAAACAACCGACUUAGAACUGGCACGGACUCGGGGAAUCCGACUGUCUAAUUAAAACAGAGGAGACGGAUGGUCCUUGCGGACGUUGACCGUCUCUGAUUUCUGCCCAGUGCUCUGAAUGUUAACUUAAGGAAACUUAAUUAAGCGCGGGUAAACGGCGGGAGUAACUAUGACUCUCUUAAGGUAGCCAAAUGCCUCGUCAUCUAAUUAGUGACGCGCAUGAAUGGGUUCCAAUGUCUAAUGCCUCCACGUGGCGGUAACCCGGUAAACGUCUCCCUACCAUCCGUGGCUAAGGGUAGACGGCAAAACUUAGACACAACAUCCCUUUGGCAAGAGCUUUGCUCACAUGCACUUAGGGAUGUAAGUUAAUCUACCCUUGAAUUUUCCAAGGGCAGAUUACAAAAAGCUACCUCUAACUGGUUGAUACACCUGUUAUAGCGUAGCCUCCUCGACCUCCCCAUGCAAAAGGGGUUGAGUCGAGAGGACCCACAGGGCCACUUCUCUCAUGGACGGUAUUUGUUUGUUUUACUCAUACUGUCCAUAAGUUGGUACAUCUGAAAUAUUGUUUAGAUCAAAUGGCUAAGCAAAUUAAAGGUCAGAUGACCCAAGAUAAUAUCGUAGUGUUGCCCCUGGCAACAGUGUUCAAGCAGAUCCGGAUCCAGAAGGAUGGAGAGAACGUCACAGUCAAUGCGUCAGCAUUGACUAGAAUUCUGCAUGAUGCACUUCAGAAGAAAGAAAAGGCCAGUGGCGGUAAACCUGCGCCUCGAGCUGUCAUAGAUGAGUAAUCAUUUAGAUGAUAUCAACUGUUAUAAAUAAAAAAUAAAUUUAGAGCUUCGAUACAGCGAAUAGUGAUGGCCACCUUGGCAGCACAUGGCAGCAGCGCCCAAGAUGCUACUUUGGAAAGUACGUCUCAGAACACGUACUCGAAGUAACAUUAACCCAUUUAUUCUCAAUAAUAAACAUUUUUAAGGGAUGAAGCUGCAUCCCGCAAAGAUGUCAAGAAGAAGUCUCGAAAAUCAUCGGUGGAGAUGACAUCUCCACCCCUGAAGAAAGACAAAAUGGCGAUGGACGACCAAUAAACCGCCACUGUUUUAUUGUUUAAUGUUUUAAAAAAUAAAGUUGUUAAGUUAAUUUUGUCGAAUCGAGCCUAAGCUGGCGGGCCUAAUCGGCUACAAUGAAGUGGGCCGCCUACGGGGAGUGCCCACUGAAAUUGUUUUUUUUUCCGCCAAAAUUUUAGUGUUCGAUCUGACAAAAACUUACAACUUUUGAAAAAAUUUCCGAGUCCGGGAAAUGUUACGCUUUAAGCGACUUGUUCUAUAUGAGGAAUAACAGACUAGUCAAAACGACUAUAAAGAAAGUGUGCUUGACCGUGCCCAAAUAAGCUAACGUUAUGCCAAAUAGCUGGCAUUGCUAGAGAAAAGAAUUCAAUUAAUUCAUUCAUGUGCGCUACUCACUACUGGGGAAAGUACUAAUCAGACACUAACCGUGUUAGAUCUAAAUAGCGAACUAGAAACACUGAUCGACCCUUUGCACUAGUGCAUUGAAGGGGGAUCAAUUGCGACCCCCGUGGGUGUCAUGGUGCUCUCGCAGGAACUCCGCCUGCGAUCCUAUCGACAGUCGCAGGUCAUCGAAUGGCUGUGAGGCCGUUUUAGUGUCCUAGUGACGCGCAUGAAUGGAUUAACGAGAUUCCCACUGUCCCUAUCUACUAUCUAGCGAAACCACAGCCAAGGGAACGGGCUUGGCAAAUACAGCGGGGAAAGANUUAACUUAAGGAAACUUAAUUAAGCGCGGGUAAACGGCGGGAGUAACUAUGACUCUCUUAAGGUAGCCAAAUGCCUCGUCAUCUAAUUAGUGACGCGCAUGAAUGGAUUAACGAGAUUCCCACUGUCCCUAUCUACUAUCUAGCGAAACCACAGCCAAGGGAACGGGCUUGGCAAAUACAGCGGGGAAAGAAGACCCUGUUGAGCUUGACUCUAGUCUGACUCUGUGAAGAAUCAUGAGAGGUGUAGCAUAAGUGGGAGGUUUCGGCCGCCAGUGAAAUACCACUACUUUCAUCGAUUCCUUACUUAUUCGGUAAGACGGGAAUUGAACUUCAAUGUUCUUGAUUUUGGUGUUAAGGAUAGCCACUUGGUGGUCGUCCGACCCGCGCCGACGACCGUGUCAGGCGGGGAGUUUGACUGGGGCGGUACAUCUGUCAAAUCGUAACGCAGGUGUCCUAAGGCGAGCUCAGAGAGGACGGAAACCUCUCGUAGAGUAAAAGGGCAAAAGCUCACUUGAUCUUGAUUUUCAGUACGAAUACAGACCGCGAAAGCGUGGCCUAUCGAUCCUUUUGAAUUAGAGAGUUUCUAGCAAGAGGUGUCAGAAAAGUUACCACAGGGAUAACUGGCUUGUGGCAGCCAAGCGUCCAUAGCGACGUUGCUUUUUGAUCCUUCGAUGUCGGCUCUUCCUAUCAUUGCGAAGCAGAAUUCGCCAAGCGUUGGAUUGUUCACCCACCAAUAGGGAACGUGAGCUGGGUUUAGACCGUCGUGAGACAGGUUAGUUUUACCCUACUGUAGACGAGCUGUUACGAUAGUAAUCCUGCUUAGUACGAGAGGAACUGCAGGUUCAGACAUUUGGUUCAUGUGCUUGGUCGAUAGACCAAUGGUGCGAAGCUACCAUCUGAGGGAUUAUGACUGAACGCCUCUAAGUCAGAAUCCCGCCUAGUCAAUGUAACAGUAUUUUUGCUCCCCGGUGUCGGGAGGCGCUUCUAUGCAUCGCUUGCGGUGCAGCAUAUGCCCCAGUAUCUGGCCUGGUCGAGUAGCCUAAUCGUUGCUCGAUUGCCAAAGCCAUAUCACUAUGGUGAAACGUCGGGGUGCAAGAUCACUUGUAAACGACUUGAUUACUGGUCAAGGGGUUGUAUCCGGUAGAGCAGCGCAUGCUGCGAUCCGUUGAGACUUAGCCUCUGAUCGGAUGAUUUGUUUUUUUUAC
rnacentral:rRNA from 1 species